UUUUUGACCAGGGCUUAUCUUCGAUACUUGAAGGAGAGGUUAUCCGUGUUGUCUUCUCUUUAUUUAUGAUGAAACAUACACGGGAAACCUCUUUUUUAGUAUCAAAUCCCACC
ensembl:miRNA MIR494 microRNA 494